rnacentral:rRNA from 1 species
AGUGAACGCUGGCGGUAGGCCUAACACAUGCAAGUCGAACGGCAGCACAGGAGAGCUUGCUCUCUGGGUGGCGAGUGGCGGACGGGUGAGGAAUACAUCGGAAUCUACUUUUUCGUGGGGGAUAACGUAGGGAAACUUACGCUAAUACCGCAUACGACCUACGGGUGAAAGCAGGGGACCUUCGGGCCUCGCGCGAUUGAAUGAGCCGAUGUCGGAUUAGCCAGUUGGCGGGGUAAAGGCCCACCAAGGCGACGAUCCGUAGCUGGUCUGAGAGGAUGAUCAGCCACACUAGAACUGAGACACGGUCCAGACUCCUACGGGAGGCAGCAGUGGGGAAUAUUGGACAAUGGGCGCAAGCCUGAUCCAGCCAUACCGCGUGGGUGAAGAAGGCCUUCGGGUUGUAAAGCCCUUUUGUUGGGAAAGAAAUCCAGCUGGCUAAUACCCGGUUGGGAUGACGGUACCCAAAGAAUAAGCACCGGCUAACUUCGUGCCAGCCGCCGCAGUAA